AACUAGUUAAUUAAUGAUAUACGUGACUCAUAAAUUAAACUGAUAGGCGAAAACACCUUUUCUAUUAUAUACAAGACAAGAUAAGAUUUUAAUAUUCGUAUGUAGCAUGCACCGACCAUCCUUAGCGUAAGUGGCAAAGAGUUUGAUGGUUGAUACCUGAUGUUUCAAGUUCCAAUUCUAAUUGAUUAGUAUUUCUAGCUAAGUUUAUUUCUAAAUAAAAUAAACGAAGCGAAUAGUAUGCUAUCUAUCUCUCAAAAGAAAAAAAAAUAUAUUCAUAACUUGUUUUCUAGAUAUAUAUU
rnacentral:lncRNA from 1 species